rnacentral:rRNA from 1 species
UAUUGCACAAUGGGCGCAAGCCUGAUGCAGCCAUGCCGCGUGUGUGAAGAAGGCCUUCGGGUUGUAAAGCACUUUCAGUCACCACGAAAGGUUAGUAGUUAAUACCUGCUAGCUGUGACGUUACUGACAGAAGAAGCACCGGCUAACUCCGUGCCAGCAGCCGCGGUAAUACGGAGGGUGCGAGCGUUAAUCGGAAUUACUGGGCGUAAAGCGUACGCAGGCGGUUUGUUAAGCGAGAUGUGAAAGCCCCGGGCUCAACCUGGGAACUGCAUUUCGAACUGGCAAACUAGAGUGUGAUAGAGGGUGGUAGAAUUUCAGGUGUAGCGGUGAAAUGCGUAGAGAUUUGAAGGAAUACCGAUGGCGAAGGCAGCCACCUGGUCAACACUACGCUCAUGUAGAAA